AUUCAUUUAGUAUAAUAAGUAUUUUAGGCUUCCAACUUAAAGGUUAAUUUUUAAUUGAAUA
rnacentral:tRNA from 1 species